rnacentral:miRNA from 1 species
UUACCGCCAAUAUUCACUCCUC